rnacentral:lncRNA from 1 species
CCAUGAUGCGCUGUUUUUUAAUGGAUUUAGUGUCACUAUGAAAAGGGUGUAAAGGAAAGAGGAAAUGAUGUGUUGUAUGAAUGAAAGUAAUACAGUCAAGUGUGUAGGCAGGAAGUGUGUUUAAUCUUGGAUAAUGGUGAUCAAAAACACAAAUACAUGGAGGGAAAAGGAUGGUGAUGAUGAAAGGAAUGACACUUUAAUUUUGACCAUAUUGAUAAAAUCAUUGGAAGACCAAGAGCAGCUAAUGAGUUAAAUAUGCAGGAUUGGUUAACAAAAUUCUACAACAUUUUCUCCUCUUCAUGAAGAAAAACAAAACCAUUGUUCAGUAAAAUACGGCAUAUUGAUUAGCACUUAAGCUUUAGCACUCUCAAUCAAUAUUUAGAGUUCUCAUUUAGAACAUCUUCUUCCUCUCCUCAGGAAGGUGCCCCUGGCUCCUGACAGCCUCCUCUCCCUCUCGUCCUCCUCUGGCACCUCCCCUGCCACUUCCCAACAGACUCUCUCUCCCGCCUCCGUCACAUCUCCUUUCCUCUCCUCUCCCUCCAACUCCCUCUCCUACACUGCCACGUUCCCUCACUCGGCAUCCGCGGCCGGGGUGUUCAGCAUUCGAGACGCCGUGCAGGCCGUCGCCCCAGUUUCCGCGCUGGGUAAAGCCCGUAACGGCACGCAUAAAGCCAGCCGCCCAUCCAAAGACGCUGAGGACUCGGCAGCAGGGUCCAAGAAGAGAAAGAACUCUUCCUACUCCUCCUCCUCUGCCUUUUCUUCUUCCUCCUUGUUACCGACUGUGGAUAAUCACAAGAGGAACGGCAGCAGCUAUCAUCCAACAUUACAAGGUUCAGGAGGGGUAGCAGCUAGCCCAGCCAGGAAAAAGGGACUCGGGCGCGGGGGGAGCGGACUUUGGAGCAGCGGAGACGAUUGGCUGUCCAGAGCUGAAGGGUCUCAUAGCCACUCUCAUAGCAACUCUCAAAACAGUCGUGAACUUGGCACCACCAGUAUACCCUACUCGGCCAACAAGGAGCCUGCCUCCGCCGCCCAUCAGCCCCUGGCUCCCCCCUCCGGACCUUUGGCUUAUGGGGGAGGAGCAGAGGGGAGGAAGAGGAGGAGUCCAAGUUCCUACAGAGGGAAGGCCAGCAAGCUGAGCAGGCCGGGUGGACUGGAGAGUCUCUUUGGGAAUGGGAGCGAUGGUGGGGGGAUACUGGCUUCGGGGCCCGAGUCCCCAAGACAGGCCAAGUUGCAUCACUGACAGAAACCAGCUCCAUGGACUGAAUGUUGGGCAGCUGUUCAGGCCACCACCGUUUGUGACCUUUGACCCCACCACUCUUCCACUGGCGGCACCAAUCAGACUGCUUCAUCUGGGCGAUGUCACCCCUAUUUACCCAGUGACAGUUCGGUUCACCCGCUGUGACAUCGGGGCUCUCUCUGGAGCCCACACAGUUGGCUGGCACUCACUUCCACUCUUCGACCACCCUAAUUAUGGAGCGUUUUGAUGGAAAGCUGCUGUGCUAUCACUGUGGUCGCGGUCUUUACAGAACAAGACAGUGGAAUCCAAAAAACGUAUCCUCUGAAAAGGGAAUUUGCCUCACAAUGUUUCCAAGGCAUUGUUGACAACACCACCACUGUACAAAUUUUUGUAAACAAUCAGAGUUUGUGUUCUGGUUGUUUUCUGGUUGCUGUGUCCGCUCAGCUGAUGAGGAAAAGAGGUCUGUGAUUGUUUAUGGGAGUUAAAUGGUUGAAGGACCUACUGACACGGCUACUGUAGGAUUAAGC